rnacentral:lncRNA from 1 species
CUACACCAAUGCCCUGGAGAAAAUACCCACAGUUGCUUCUGCUAAGCCAAGGAUCCCCCUGCUCUGGGCAUGCACAGGGGACAGCUCUGCACCUGGUCUGAGCCAUGGCACAAAGAUGAACCAGGACACUGGGACACAAGUGCCCAAUUGCUCUGAGCCAGGACUCUGAUUUUAAGCAUUGACCUUCUACUGAGAUGCCCUUAAAAAUCUGUCUUGAUCAUGCUGGAAAGUAACAACACUGCAUUUCUGAGGAGUUUUUUCUCCACUGAACUAUGGAAGUGCCCAUGUGUGCUCUGUUAAAUCCUAGACAAGGCUGUGUCUUGGAGCAGAGAUGCUCAGAUAAAAUGAGGAUCAUGGUGUUCCCUUCUGGUGUCUGCACAGCUGAGGACAGCUGGCACAGCCACCUCAGGUUUGCUCAGUGAGGGCAAGGGAUGUCCUGAGCUCUCCCUUUCCCUUGGUUCAACAGAGCCAGCACAAUGGGAGAAAAGGCAGGUUCUGCUCAAUGGAGAUAUCUCUGUUUCACCACUGCUUCCUCCUCUGGAAGAAAAAUGAUUCCUCCAGGUCUUGACAUCUGCUGCUAUUUAAAGGAUCAUCAUCAUCACCACUCCAGCCCUCCUGGGGCCUCAAGGCUCUCAGCAAAAAACCUUUCAAUUGCCAGGGCAAUAAAAGAUGUCAGGGGUGAUUAAAGAUGUGGAAGCUGGUGCUCUGCAUCUCCAUGCAGCCAAGUCCUUCAGAUUUUCCUCACUCCCACUGGGACAGAAUUUUCCAACAUUGAGUACCAGUCUCCAGCACACCCUGAGCAAGAAGAGGGUGUUGAGCACCCAGCUGGAAUCAGUCACAUCUCUCUGAGCUCCCUAUUCCCAUCCAUCUGACCACAUCCAUCCCUGCAGUGCUGGGUGUCCUGUCCCUGGGCUGAGCUGGGAGCGUGUGGUCCUUGCACACUGCCUGGAGUAUUGCUUACAUAUGGUAUGUUUUCCAUGCAAAAUGGGUUUUUAAGAAAUAAGGGUUUUUAAAAUGGACUAAAAAAUUUUUACCGGGGCAUCUGGUAUUGGAAAUAUUUGAAAACAUUGAAAUUUUUUCUUUCUUGGCAGUAAAAACAACCCAGCUUCUUUCCCACUGCAGUCCAAGAACUAUUGAAUAUGUUUUAAAACAGAUCGUUUGGGGGGUUUAUAUAACUUUUUAUGGUUCUGAACAGAAGACACUUUUCUCUUUAGAACUGGUUCAGAAUCCUAAAUUAUAGUUGUUGAUUUCUUGGCUUAUGGGGAGCUACAUGAUUUACACCAGUUAAGAAUAUCAGAAAGCUUCAAGAAACCUUUGAAAGCGCAAACCAGAGGAAGAUGAGCUUUUGUUUUCCUUCCCAGAUAUUCAUAUCCUUGUUGCAGACUAUGCCUGGAUUCACUCCAUUGCUGUUGUGAACCGUGAGACUUUAUCCCAUCCCCAUUCCCCAGGUAGCUGGAGUCAAGCACUGCAGGGGGCAACUUGAAGGUUCCCCGAGAAAUUUGAAGGGAUCUGAGGGAAUCCAACCCCUGGGAUGGGGUGAACCCAGAUGCUGCAGCUGCUUCAAGUUUUUCCAGUUAUUUUUUCCUGAGAAUGACUAUUAAGGUCACAAGAUCUGGGGGUUUUCGUGUGUGGUUUUCUGACCUGCUGAAUCAUUAUAUUUUUUAUUAUUUUUUUCUCAUGCCCAUU